UACGUAGGGGGCAAGCGUUGUCCGGAAUCAUUGGGCGUAAAGAGCGUGUAGGCGGCCCGAUAAGUCCGCUGUGAAAGUCCAGGGCUCAACCCUGGGAUGCCGGUGGAUACUGUCGGGCUCGAGUCCGGAAGAGGAGUGUGGAAUUCCUGGUGUAGCGGUGAAAUGCGCAGAUAUCAGGAGGAACACCAAUGGCGAAGGCAGCACUCUGGGACGUGACUGACGCUGAGACGCGAAAGCGUGGGGAGCAAACGGG
rnacentral:rRNA from 1 species